rnacentral:rRNA from 1 species
GAUGAACGCUGGCGGCGUGCCUAAUACAUGCAAGUCGAGCGAACGGACGAGAAGCUUGCUUCUCUGAUGUUAGCGGCGGACGGGUGAGUAACACGUGGAUAACCUACCUAUAAGACUGGGAUAACUUCGGGAAACCGGAGCUAAUACCGGAUAAUAUUUUGAACCGCAUGGUUCAAAAGUGAAAGACGGUCUUGCUGUCACUUAUAGAUGGAUCCGCGCUGCAUUAGCUAGUUGGUAAGGUAACGGCUUACCAAGGCAACGAUGCAUAGCCGACCUGAGAGGGUGAGCGGCCACACUGGAACUGAGGCACGGUCCAGACUCCUACGGGAGGCAGCAGUAGGGAAUCUUCCGCAAUGGGCGAAAGCCUGACGGAGCAACGCCGCGUGAGUGAUGAAGGUCUUCGGAUCGUAAAACUCUGUUAUUAGGGAAGAACAUAUGUGUAAGUAACUGUGCACAUCUUGACGGUACCUAAUCAGAAAGCCACGGCUAACUACGUG